UUUUUUUACAUAAAUAAGGCCGUUAGUUUUCUCGUUUGAAUUGUUUUACAUUGUCUUAUCGGGGCCUAUUAUAGCUGACUAUGCGGUAUGGGCUUUGCUCAUUGUCGAAGGCCGUACGGUGACCUAUAUUUGUUAAUGUCUGUGUCAUUUUGGUCUUGUGUGUAUAGUUGUCUCAUUGGCAAUCAUACCACAUCUUCUUUUUAUAU
rnacentral:lncRNA from 1 species